rnacentral:rRNA from 1 species
UACGUAGGGUGCAAGCGUUAAUCGGAAUUACUGGGCGUAAAGCGUGCGCAGGCGGUUGUGCAAGACAGAUGUGAAAUCCCCGGGCUUAACCUGGGAACUGCAUUUGUGACUGCACGGCUAGAGUGUGUCAGAGGGGGGUAGAAUUCCACGUGUAGCAGUGAAAUGCGUAGAUAUGUGGAGGAAUACCGAUGGCGAAGGCAGCCCCCUGGGAUAACACUGACGCUCAUGCACGAAAGCGUGGGGAGCAAACAGGAUUAGAAACCCCGGUAGU